rnacentral:rRNA from 1 species
GACGAACGCUGGCGGCGUGCUUAACACAUGCAAGUCGAACGGACAGGCCCUGCUUUUGUGGGGUGCUCGAGUGGCGAACGGGUGAGUAACACGUGAGUAACCUGCCCUUGACUUUGGGAUAACUUCAGGAAACUGGGGCUAAUACCGGAUAGGAGCUCCUGCUGCAUGGUGGGGGUUGGAAAGUUUCGGCGGUUGGGGAUGGACUCGCGGCUUAUCAGCUUGUUGGUGGGGUAGUGGCUUACCAAGGCUUUGAAGGGUAGCCGGCCUGAGAGGGGGACCGGCCACAUGGGGACUGAGAUACGGCCCAGACUCCUACGGGAGGCAGCAGUGGGGAAUAUUGCACAAUGGGCGGAAGCCUGAUGCAGCAACGCCGCGUGCGGGAUGACGGCCUUCGGGUUGUAAACCGCUUUCGCCUGUGACGAAGCGUGAGUGACGGUAAUGGGUAAAGAAGCACCGGCUAACUACGUG